GCUAAACCAGUAUUAAAGGCAACGCCUGCCCAGUGAAUAGUUUAACGGCCGCGGUACCCUAACCGUGCAAAGGUAGCGUAAUCACUUGUCUAUUAAUUGUAGACCCGUAUGAAAGGCAUAAUGAGGGCCUAACUGUCUCUUUUAGUAAAUCAAUUAAACUGAUCUCCUAGUCCAAAAGCUAGGAUACCAACAUAAGACCAGAAGACCCUGUGAAACUUUAACUAAACUAUUAAACCCCAUAAUAACUCCUUUAGGUUGGGGCGACCUUGGAAAAAAAAAGAACUUCCAAAUAACAUAUUAAAUAAUAAUAUAGUACCAGGCCAACAAGCCUACCUACGACCCAGCACAGCUGAUAACUGAACCAAGCUACUCCAGGGAUAACAGCGCUAUCUUCUUCAAGAGCCCAUAUCAAAAAGAAGGUUUACGACCUCGAUGUUGGAUCAGGACAUCCUAACGGUGCAACCGCUAUUAAGGGUUCGUUUGUUCAACGAUUAACAGUCCU
rnacentral:rRNA from 1 species